rnacentral:rRNA from 1 species
CCUACGGGUGGCUGCAGUGAGGAAUAUUGGUCAAUGGACGAGAGUCUGAACCAGCCAAGUAGCGUGAAGGAUGACUGCCCUAUGGGUUGUAAACUUCUGUUAUAGGGGAAUAAAAUGUGCCACGUGUGGGAUUUCGUAUGUACCAUAUGAAUAAGGAUCGGCUAACUCCGUGCCAGCAGCCGCGGUAAUACGGAGGAUCCGAGCGUUAUCCGGAUUUAUGGGGUUUAAAGGGAGCGUAGGUGGAUUGUUAAGUCAGUUGUGCAAGUUUGCGGCUCAACCGGAAAAUUGCAGUUGAAACUGGCAGUCUUUACUACAGUAGAGGUGGGCGGUCUUCGUGGUGUAGCGGU